AAGCAGGUAGUUUAAAUAAAACGUUUGGUUUCGGCCCAAGGGUCUGUGGUGUAAAUCCAUACUUGCUUG
rnacentral:tRNA from 1 species